UCAUUACUCGUAAUAAUUCGUCUGUAAGUAAUAGAUGCCUUUAGAGGAAGUGCACAAGAAGUAGUUAAAAAUAGAAAUGUUAAACAAUCUUCAUGCUUUUUAGGAAGUAUGAUUCACACUCUUUCUGGGUAAGAGUGAUGCUGAAUGGUCUUUGGGUCAAAACAUCACAUUCCAGAGCUAUGAGCUUGUAUUAUGGUCAAGGCUUAGCAUAUGUGAAUGGAGAGUGAUGACUGCAUAAAAGGGAGAGAGGAAUUUGCUCCAAUUCACUCCUGCACUGCACCCCAUUCAUGGGGCAGGCAGAGAGGCUUCUUCAUUUUCGGGUCAGAAUUAUAGGUAUUUGACAUGACAUUCGUGUAGCGGGUGAGGCUAUCACGAGAGGAAAUAAUAUGGUCCUCUAGGCCAGAUUGCCAGGGUUUUUUUUAAUUUCUUUAUCUUUUGUUCCUGUACUUGGAAAUUGUGGAAUUUUGUAUAUAACGACUCAUCGAUAUUAAACGAACCGAAACACAAGGAAUGGUGUCGUGUGUCAUCUUUCUGCAUCAGUUUCCGCGUGUUACAAGUGGCGUUGUCAGCAGGAUCGAUGUUCGUCGUUGGAUACAACCAAGUUCAAACCCUGACAAUCUGAGGAGCUCAUCCGUGGACAUCUUAAUUUGUAAAUAUUAACGUAGCUUUAACACUGUUUAAGAUGUAUUUGUGUGUGUGCAUAGUGUGAAUGCGGUAGCCAAAAUGUAGUUUGGUUUAAAAUAAUGUGGGGCUACAAGUGUAUUUAAUAGGGACUAAUACUAGUGGGAAGGUAUUUUAAGAGAUACCCUGUAAGAGUUUUCAGACCAAAUGGCUUUGGUCAAGGGAAUACUGAGUACUGUUGAAGAUUAGUUUUGUGUUGUCAUGGUAAUGCUGUGGUUUGGAACAGUCCAUGCCCCCCUUCUUAUGUAAUUUUGGCUGGUUGGAUGGGAACCACACAUUGGGGUGUAGGAAGCCAGAGACACCAGUAUUUUAUAUGUUGAUAGGAGGGAGUACAGUAUGUGCAGAGAAGCUCUGGGUUUGGCAAACAUGAUUAACUAUGAAUAGUUGAGGCGUUUCUUUGUCUGAUACUUGAAGUUUGUUAACUUUUUAAUUUUUGUUUUGGAUUUUGAUUAAUAUUCGGUUUAAUUAAGCUAUGGCGUGAAUUAAUGUUAAUUAAUUGCUUGAUCCAGAAUGUGUAUUUGGUAGUUUUAGGGGCUACUUUGGAAAAAGUAGGGGAGCCCACGUGUUGAUGAAAGUGUUUUACUUUCAUGUGUCUGUGUGUUAUAAUGGUUAUCAUAUUGUAAUAUGCUGAUCUUUCUGAUUUGUAACUGGGAUUUGGCUAGGAGUACUGCUAGGUUUAGUCAGGAUAAAGUAUCAAUGUUAAUUUCGAGAACCUCAAUCUGAGACCGGGACUGCAUUAGAGGGAUACUGGAGUGACUAUUGGGGCAGUAAGGUUUUUCUCUUUACCUUUGUUUAUCUGUUAACCUUCGAGGCCGGAAAGGACGCAGUGGUAGUUGAGAGAAUUAGUCAUAAGUUAUGAGAUUUUUCAGUGUGUUAUAUUGGUAUACCAUUGUUCCAUUUGAAAUUGCUAAGAUUUGGGGAAACAUCUAGUAAUUGUUAUUUGUUUAUUGUCUUGUAAUUCUUUAACAGUUUGAAUCGGCUUAAAGUAUAAGUAGGUAUAUUUUUGGAGGUUUAAGGAUGACAUUGUAGUGAUUGAUUUUACUGGCUAUAAUUUUAUAAUGGUCUGUUAUUCGUUGAGAUACAUGGAUUGUGAAGGUUUAUGUUGAUAACUAAACAAUUGGUUGGUAUAAACUCUGGAGCUGUUAGGAUCAGUUAGGAAGCACUUGGAAUGUUCAAUGCUAGGAACCUCAACAUGAGACUAGUAUUACAUAAUAUGGAGUGUACUUGAAAACUGAAACAGUUGAGUUUUUGCACUAGAUAUGUUUUCUGUGUUUAUUCUCGUCACGAGACCAGGAAGUUCGUAUUAGUGGUGCGGGUUCGCCAAUACCGUGUUAUUGCCGAGAUUUUUAUAUUCUGUAUCGGGUGAUUACUGGCUUUAUAUAUUUAGUGCCAUGAUUAAUUGUAAAUUGAUUUGUUCUGUAACUGGGAACAAGCAUCUCCAGGUCGUGUUAUUUUAAGUAGGACUUUAAUUUUUGUAAUAAUUUUGGUAUAGUGAGUGCCGGGACGUCACUCAAUUAAGUAGGGGAGUAUGUAACAGGUCAAAAUGAACUGUUUAUUGAAAAUUCAUAUAUUUUCAUUACUCUUAAUAAUUCGUCUGUAAGUAAUAGAUGCCUUUAGAGGAAGUGCACAAGAAGUAGUUAAAAAUAGAAAUGUUAAACAAUCUUCAUGCUUUUUAGGAAGUAUGAUUCACACUCUUUCUGGGUAAGAGUGAUGCUGAAUGGUCUUUGGGUCAAAACAUCACAUUCCAGAGCUAUGAGCUUGUAUUAUGGUCAAGGCUUAGCAUAUGUGAAUGGAGAGUGAUGACUGCAUAAAAGGGAGAGAGGAAUUUGCUCCAAUUCACUCCUGCACUGCACCCCAUUCAUGGGGCAGGCAGAGAGGCUUCUUCAUUUUCGGGUCAGAAUUAUAGGUAUUUGACAUGACAUUCGUGUAGCGGGUGAGGCUAUCACGAGAGGAAAUAAUAUGGUCCUCUAGGCCAGAUUGCCAGGGUGAGUGGUUAUCAUUUAUAAACCACUGUAUUUCAAUGCUAAUUUGUUGGCAUAUUUUUAUUGUUGGUUGGUAAAUUUCACUUAAUGGAUGUAUUUCAUUUAUUUGUUGGAAAAGUUAUCCAUAACGAUGGAGGAACUGAAUUUGUGAUUAGAUGAGUUGAAUUCAGGCAAUAUUGAAUAAGUUUUAAUGAAUGGAUAUAGACAACAUGUUUAUCAUUUAUUAUUACGAGUCUACUUGACGUCAUAUUGAUGAAUGUUUUAUCUAAGAGUCACAAGCAAAUAUGUGUAUAUUUCUAUUUUGUGCGUUUUUCAAACAUAUAUCAUCAUUCUAGUUAAUUGUUUUAUUCUCAUUGGUUU
rnacentral:lncRNA from 1 species